UCUCCUUGUCUGCUCUCUCUUUCAUCUCCUUGUGAGAAAACCCUAACUAUAACACUAACAACAUCACCAUUUCCAUUUGACAAACACAAAACAAGUUCAUCUUCUCAAACAAAAUCAUACAAACAUACACACCUGCACACCAUGUUCCAUCUCCAUCUCUUCCGGUGACCGGAGUAACUCCGGCGCCUCUCCUACUCUGACCGGCCACACCCCUAAAACACCUCCUUCCUCUUCACCUUUAAUCACCCGCAGCCCCCCCCCUCGUCACUUAUGCAGCUCCGACAAACCAUAGGGAGCCCGCGAUUAUGUUGGGGCCGGCCACCACACCUUGGUGGCGGCGGCGACAAGAUCAGAGAGAGAGGAGAGCCGACGUGGUUCAGCGGAGAAGGAAGGACGGAACUGGGAGAGAGAGAUCGAGAGAGUGAGUCCGGGAGAAAGGGGAGCGCCGCCGCCGCUCACGGCGACGGCAGCGGAAGCCGGCGACGGCGAGGAUGGCGGUGGUGUUUUUGUUUCUUUCGACGAGUCUAACCGCGGUGGUGGUCAGUGAAGACGACAGUUAUUUUGCUCGGGUCCCGACUUAAGUGUUAGCCAAACUAGUCAACGAAACGAUUCAGAUUCACUCUUGGUUGGUUCGAGAUACAAGGAGAUGAGAGUGGUAGCUCGGUUCAGUUUUUGUUUAUUUCGAGUCAACUCAGCUGCGUUUCGGGUCAAACCCGGUUGGCUCGGUCAACACCCGAGUCAACUCGGGUCGACAACAGGUCAAGGCAGUCAACAACAGUCAACGCUCGGUCAACACGGGAGGCCCGGUAAAGUUGUUAGCGUAGCAAGUUAGUUACGUUAGAUUUUAGUUAGUUAUACGCGACCGAGCUCGACCCGAAUCGAUUAGCGAUUGGUUACAUUUUAUUUUGUCGUAUUUCAUAA